rnacentral:rRNA from 1 species
CGGGACACGUGGUAUCCUGUCUGAAUAUGGGGGGACCAUCCUCCAAGGCUAAAUACUCCUGACUGACCGAUAGUGAACCAGUACCGUGAGGGAAAGGCGAAAAGAACCCCGGCGAGGGGAGUGAAAAAGAACCUGAAACCGUGUACGUACAAGCAGUGGGAGCCUCUUUUAUGGGGUGACUGCGUACCUUUUGUAUAAUGGGUCAGCGACUUAUAUUCUGUAGCAAGGUUAACCGAAUAGGGGAGCCGAAGGGAAACCGAGUCUUAACUGGGCGUUAAGUUGCAGGGUAUAGACCCGAAACCCGGUGAUCUAGCCAUGGGCAGGUUGAAGGUUGGGUAACACUAACUGGAGGACCGAACCGACUAAUGUUGAAAAAUUAGCGGAUGACUUGUGGCUGGGGGUGAAAGGCCAAUCAAACCGGGAGAUAGCUGGUUCUCCCCGAAAGCUAUUUAGGUAGCGCCUCGUGAAUUCAUCUCCGGGGGUAGAGCACUGUUUCGGCAAGGGGGUCAUCCCGACUUACCAACCCGAUGCAAACUGCGAAUACCGGAGAAUGUUAUCACGGGAGACACACGGCGGGUGCUAACGUCCGUCGUGAAGAGGGAAACAACCCAGACCGCCAGCUAAGGUCCCAAAGUCAUGGUUAAGUGGGAAACGAUGUGGGAAGGCCCAGACAGCCAGGAUGUUGGCUUAGAAGCAGCCAUCAUUUAAAGAAAGCGUAAUAGCUCACUGGUCGAGUCGGCCUGCGCGGAAGAUGUAACGGGGCUAAACCAUGCACCGAAGCUGCGGCAGCGACGCUUAUGCGUUGUUGGGUA